rnacentral:lncRNA from 1 species
GGAAAAUGUAUAUUUUGUUGAUGAUAAGGUCUGAAGUAGCCGAUGAAUACAACGGGAUCUCUAAGAACAAGAGAAUAUGAAUGGAACGAGACUAUCGUUUAGCCAUAGAGAAGACUGGAUCCCUUUCUUGGCUUGUCCUCCUUUUUAUAGGUCUCAGAGUGUGGAUCUUAAUGGUGGCGUGAUCUCUAGCGUGGAUCAGGCGUCUUUAUGAUUGUCUUAAAUGCCGUUGAUUCCUUUACGUUAUGCUGUGAUUCACCGAGUUCGGCGUACGAGACCCUUCAUCUCGGGGUGGGCCUGGACCUAUCGUUUCUGCUUGGGUCUUAGUGAUGUUUGAGCGAGGCUCCAUUGCGUCUGGGUUGAGGUCUCGAACUAGUCUUGAGCAGGGUAAAACCCGGCUCCAAUAAGAUUGAAGUUAACAGCAACAAUUAUUAUGAGAUUCAAAUCUGUUUUAAAAAUAGUAAGAAAACAGUCAUAAUACGUCAAAAUGAAAUAAAUAAAAUUUCAUUUACAAAAUGGAAAAUUAAAAAUAGUUCAAAAUAUCUUACAAAUAUCUAGCCAAAAUUUAUGGUACAUUUGAAAGGUGAAAAAUACUAAAUUUUCAACUGAAAGGGAAUAUCACCGAUUGAUACUCUUCAACUUGAUUUGCUUGAAGUAGAUGGCUGGAGAAUUUUAAACCAAAAAGAGGUGGAGGAAGUAUGAAUUAACCUAGACACGAAGAAGAUUAUAGACCUCCCCCAAUACCUAUACAUAUAUAGAUCUUGGAAAAGGAAGAGAAUAUGUGGUUGAAGGAAAAUAGACGAUUUUCUAUUAAGCAAAAGGGUUUUGUUUGGAGAAGAAGUGUGCAUUUACAAGAAAAUGAAGUUUGCUUAAAUGGAAACAUAACUUGAGCAAGCUUAUGGUUUAAUAUAUAAAGAGGGAUGUCCCUUAUGAGAAAGACAAAACUCAGAGAAUAAAAGGGAGAGAGAGUUUUUCAUUGUGUGUUUGUGUUGUUGAGUAUUCUCGUAGUGUCUGAUGGAGUGUUUCUUUGUCUUAGUGUUGUGGCAUUGGUGUUGAUGUUUUGUUUGACGGAGUGUGCCAUUACUUCGAGCUUGUGAUGAUCAAGCGUGUUGUGCGUUGGUGUUGACGUGCCGUUAAUAUCAUUGGUCUCUGUAAGUUGUUGACGUACUCGGUGACGAAAUACAUAUGACAUACUUUCAGAGAC